rnacentral:rRNA from 1 species
AGAGUUUGAUCCUGGCUCAGGAUGAACGCUAGCGGCAGGCUUAACACAUGCAAGUCGAGGGGCAGCGGGGAGGAAGCUUGCUUUCUCCGCCGGCGACCGGCGCACGGGUGAGUAACACGUAUGCAACCUGCCCCUGUCAGGGGGACAACCCGCCGAAAGGCGGGCUAAACCCGCGUACAUGCCACCGGGGCAUCCCGGAGGCAGGAAAGGCUUCGGCCGGACAGGGAUGGGCAUGCGGCGCAUUAGGCAGUAGGCGGGGUAACGGCCCACCUAACCGACGAUGCGUAGGGGUUCUGAGAGGAAGGUCCCCCACACUGGUACUGAGACACGGACCAGACUCCUACGGGAGGCAGCAGUGAGGAAUAUUGGUCAAUGGUCGGGAGACUGAACCAGCCAAGCCGCGUGAGGGAGGAAGGUACAGAGUAUCGUAAACCUCUUUUGUCAGGGAACAAAGGCGGGGACGUGUCCCCGGAUGAGUGUACCUGAAGAAAAAGCAUCGGCUAACUCCGUGCCAGCAGCCGCGGUAAUACAGAGGAUGCGAGCGUUAUCCGGAUUUAUUGGGUUUAAAGGGUGCGCAGGCGGUCUGUUAAGUCAGCGGUCAAAGCCCGGGGCUCAACCCCGGCCCGCCGUUGAAACUGGCAGUCUCGAGUUGGAGAGAAGUAUGCGGAAUGCGCGGUGUAGCGGUGAAAUGCAUAGAUAUCGCGCAGAACUCCGAUUGCGAAGGCAGCAUGCCGGCUCCACACUGACGCUGAGGCACGAAAGCGUGGGUAUCGAACAGGAUUAGAUACCCUGGUAGUCCACGCAGUAAACGAUGAAUGCUGGCUGUCCGGGGGGAUUGACCCCUGGGUGGCGAAGCGAAAGCGAUAAGCAUUCCACCUGGGGAGUACGCCGGCAACGGUGAAACUCAAAGGAAUUGACGGGGGCCCGCACAAGCGGAGGAACAUGUGGUUUAAUUCGAUGAUACGCGAGGAACCUUACCCGGGCUCAAACGGGGAGUGACUCAGGCAGAGAUGCCUGUUUCCCACGGGACACUCCCCGAGGUGCUGCAUGGUUGUCGUCAGCUCGUGCCGUGAGGUGUCGGCUUAAGUGCCAUAACGAGCGCAACCCCCGCGUGCAGUUGCUAACAGAUAACGCUGAGGACUCUGCACGGACUGCCGGCGCAAGCCGCGAGGAAGGCGGGGAUGACGUCAAAUCAGCACGGCCCUUACGUCCGGGGCGACACACGUGUUACAAUGGGUGGUACAGCGGGAAGCCAGGCGGCGACGCCGAGCGGAACCCGAAAUCCACUCUCAGUUCGGAUCGGAGUCUGCAACCCGACUCCGUGAAGCUGGAUUCGCUAGUAAUCGCGCAUCAGCCAUGGCGCGGUGAAUACGUUCCCGGGCCUUGCACACACCGCCCGUCA